UGGCUCAGGAUGAACGCUGGCGGCGUGCCUAACACAUGCAAGUCGAACGGAGUUACGAGAGCUUGCUUUGUAACUUAGUGGCGGACGGGUGAGUAAUGUAUGAGCAACCUGCCUUUCAGAGGGGGACAACAGUUGGAAACGACUGCUAAUACCGCAUAAUGUACCGUGGGGGGCAUCCCCCGUGGUACCAAAGGGAGCAAUCCGCUGAAAGAUGGGCUCAUAUCUGAUUAGCUAGUUGGUGGGGUAACGGCUCACCAAGGCUGCGAUCAGUAGCCGGACUGAGAGGUUGAACGGCCACAUUGGGACUGAGAUACGGCCCAGACUCCUACGGGAGGCAGCAGGUGGGGAAUAUUGGGCAAUGGGCGAAAGCCUCGACCCAGCAACGCCGCGUGAAAGGAAGAAGGUCUUCGGAUUGUAAACUUCUUUUAUGAGGGACGAAGGACGUGACGGUACCUCAUGAAUAAGCCACGGCUAACUACGUGCCAGCCGCGGC
rnacentral:rRNA from 1 species